rnacentral:rRNA from 1 species
UACGGGGGGGGCAAGCGUUGUUCGGAAUUACUGGGCGUAAAGGGCUCGUAGGUGGCCAACUAAGUCAGACGUGAAAUCCCUCGGCUUAACCGGGGAACUGCAUCUGAUACUGGAUGGCUUGAGUUUGGGAGAGGGAUGCGGAAUUCCUGGUGUAGCGGUGGAAUGCGCAGAUAUCAGGAGGAACACCAACGGCGAAGGCAGCUCGCUAGGACGGUACUGACGCUGAGACGCGAAAGCGUGGGGAGCAAACAGG